rnacentral:rRNA from 1 species
UACGUAGGUGGCGAGCGUUGUCCGGAUUUACUGGGUGUAAAGGGCGUGUAGGCGGGGAUGCAAGUCAGAUGUGAAAUACCGUUGCUCAACGACGGGGCUGCAUCUGAAACUGCAUUUCUUGAGUGCUGGAGAGGAAAGCGGAAUUCCUAGUGUAGCGGUGAAAUGCGUAGAUAUUAGGAGGAACACCAGUGGCGAAGGCGGCUUUCUGGACAGUAACUGACGCUGAGGCGCGAAAGCGUGGGGAGCAAACAGG